GUUGUGGAUCCCUCCCUUGCAUGGGAGAAUGUCUUAAAAGGAGGUUGUGUGAAUAAAUCUAGGAUUCUGCUUAACCCUCAAAAUGAAGUGUCGUCUCGUUAUUGGGGGAAUUGGAUUGUAUGCUGACUGCCAGGAGUGUAACCGUUUUGUAUGGUUUUCCUGUUCGGAUAUUUCUAGUGUUCAUGUGUUUCCAGUUCGGGAGAUCGGUGCUUACAGUAGCUGUCGGUGUAGCUGAGAAAGGGGUAUAUCGCCUAAACGGUUUUAACCUCUGGUGAGCUAAACGGUCC